CCCAGACUCCUACGGGAGGCAGCAGUCGGGAAUAUUGCGCAAUGGAGGAAACUCUGACGCAGUGACGCCGCGUGCAGGAAGAAGGUUUUCGGAUUGUAAACUGCUUUAGAUAGGGAAGAAAAAAAUGACAGUACCUAUAGAAUAAGCUCCGGCUAACUACGUGCCAGCAGCCGCGGUAAUACGGAGGAUGCGAGCGUUAUCCGGAUUUAUUGGGUUUAAAGGGUGCGUAGGCGGAAUGCCAAGUCAGCGGUAAAAUCGCGGGGCUCAACCUCGCUCCGCCGUUGAAACUAGCGUUCUUGAGUGGGCGAGAAGUAUGCGGAAUGCGUGGUGUAGCGGUGAAAUGCAUAGAUAUCACGCAGAACUCCGAUUGCGAAGGCAGCAUACCGGCGCCCAACUGACGCUGAAGCACGAAAGCGUGGGUAUCGAACAGGAUUAGAUACCCCUGUAC
rnacentral:rRNA from 1 species